UGUCUCCUUUCGGGGAGGGUGCACUUUGCAGUGUCCUCUGUACUUCGUUCUACUCGUCCAAAUGUGAAAUCAAGUUGUAAACAAUACCAUGGCCAGCACAGCUAGAAACGGCGGCCUGGAUCUUACAUUUCCUCUCUCCACUUUUGCAGACAGCGAGUCUCGGCUACUUGUAUUGAUGUCCUGUGAAGUUUUCUAGACGUGGUCUCCAAGAAAGCUCAUCGCUGUCCUGACUGCAAACGCACAGGACACAAACUGUGAACUCAUUGGUACAGGAGACAACUUCCUGAACAGAACACCAACAGCAGAGGCUCUGAGAGCAACAAUCAAUAAAUGGGACCUAUGAAGCUGAAAAGCUUCUGUAAAGCAAAGGACACCAUCCUCAGAACAAAACGACUGCCUACAGAGUGGGAAAGAAUAUUCACCAACCCUUUAUCUGACAGAGGGCUACUAUCCAGUAUAUAUAAAGAACUAAAGAAGCUGAAAAGCAGCAAACCAAGUAAUCCACUUAAAAAAUGGGGAACAGAGCUAAACAGAGAACUCUCUGUAGAGGAAUAUAGAAUGGCAGAGAAACACUUAAAGAAAUGUUCAUCCUCAUUAGCAAUUAGGGAACUGCAAAUCAAAAUGACCCUGAGAUUUCACCUUACAACCAUCAGAAUGGCCAAGAUGAAAAACUAAAGUGACAGCACAUGCUGGAGAGGUUAUGAAGAAAGGGGAAACCUCCUCCACUGCUGGUGGGAAUGUAAACUCGUACAACCACUCUAGAAAUCAAUCUGGCGCUUUCUCAGACAACUAGGAAUAGUGCUUCCCCAAGAUCCAGCCAUACCACUCCUAGGCAUAUAUCCAAAAGAGACUCAAGUACACAAUAAGGACAUCUGCUCAACAAUGUUUGUAGCAGCCCUAUUUGUAAUAGCCAGAAGCUGGAAACAGCACAGAUGCCCCUCAACUGAAGAAUGGAUGCAGAAAUUGUGGUACAUCUACACAAUGGAGUAUUACUCUGCAAUGAAAAACAAGGAAAUCACAAAAUUUGCAGGUAAAUAGUGGGACUUGGAAAGGAUCAUCCUGAAAAAGCUGUCGCAGAAGCGGAAAGACACACACGGUAUAUACUCACUCAUAUGGACAUAUAACAUAGGAUAAACCUACUUAAAUAUGUACAUCUAAAGAAACUAAUCAAGAGAGAGACCCUGACUAAAACGCUCAAUCCCCAUCGGAAAGGCAAAGAGGAUGGACAUCAGAAGAAGAAGAAAACAGGAAACAACCUAGAAACCUGCCACAGAGGGCCUUUGAAAGGCUCUGCCCUGCAGACUAUCAAAGCCGAUGCUGAGACUUAUGGCCAACUGUUGGGCAGUGUGCAUGGAAUCUUAUGUAAGAAGUAGGAAAAGAUCUGGAGAGGACAGGAACCCCACAAGGAGAGCAACAGAACCAGAAAAUUUGAACACAGGGGUCUUCCCAGAGACUCAUACUCCAACCGAGUACCAUGCAUGGAGAUAACCUAGAACCUCUGCACAGAUGUAGCCCAUGACAGUUUAGUGUCCAAGUGGGUCACAUAGUAAUGGGAAGAGGGACUGCCUCUGACACAAUCUGAUAGGCCUGCUCUUUGAUUACCUCCCCCUGAGGGGGGAGCAGCCUUACCUGGCCACAGAAGAUGACAAUGCAGCCACUCCUGAUGUGAUCUGAUAGACUAAGGUCAGAAGGAAGGAGAGGAGGACCUCCCCUAUGGACUUGGGGAGGGGCAUGCAUGAAGAAGGGGGAGGGCUUA